rnacentral:piRNA from 3 species
UGACCCAGCAGUUAUGGACCAGUUCU